rnacentral:rRNA from 1 species
UACGUAGGGUGCAAGCGUUUAAUCGGAAUUACUGGGCGUAAAGCGUGCGCAGGCGGUUCGUUGUGUCGGCGGUGAAAGCCCCGGGCUUAACCUGGGAAUGGCCGUUGAAACUGGCGAACUGGAGUGUGGCAGGAGGGGGUGGAAUUCCGCGUGUAGCAGUGAAAUGCGUAGAGAUGCGGAGGAACACCGAUGGCGAAGGCGGCGACCUGGGCCAAUAUUGACGCUGAGGUGCGAAAGCGUGGGGAGCAAACAGG